UUCGGGGCAGGUCUUUUCAGUCCUGGGCUGGUUGGAGUGUACUGUGGGGGGGUUCCUGGAAAACUUUUAAGUGUCAAAGACUAUUUGGUCUUACACAAUUAGACGCUGUGUAGCGGUGGUUCACAAUAGAGUUUUGCAUUCAGGAGUCACUGGAGCUGUAAAGCUUAUUGUACCAGCAAGAUAAGCAGGCUUGGCAAGAAUGAUAGCCAUUUGGUGCUCGCCAGAUCGCCCAGCUGAAAAACUGGGUACCGACAAUGCUCGGCUUUGGGAGGCGUUGGAGGCCUGGCGCUUCUCUACAUCACUGACUGGAAGGCAGUCUGCCAGUUCAUACCGAUCUACAACAAGAAGUUCAAAGAGAAGUGAAGAUUAACCACAGACAUCGCGAAUGGCGUCAAUAAGUGCGGAAUGGUUUACGCAUCUUGGAUGAAGAGCGUAACCUGUGGUAUGUCGGGUAUGUGAAAAAUAUAUGUGAUUUUAGCUA